GUCAGGCUCAGAGGUCACGUGGGCUCGGCGGCAGUGAAGCCAGGGCUGAACUCUGGUGCCGGGGACAGAGCAGUGUGGUGUCAGGCGCUGCAGGACUGCAACGCCAAGACUGGGGGCCAGAUGCCCAAGCUAAGGGACCCAUGACUCCGCUGUGACCUUGGAACUUGUCCUUGGAAGGAGGAGGGGAGUUGACCGCAUAAGGAAGAACCUGUGUUGGCCAACUUGGAUGGCAGGGGAAGAUCAACAGAAGGUGCCCUCCAC
rnacentral:lncRNA from 1 species